rnacentral:rRNA from 1 species
GACGAACACUGGCGGCGUGCUUAACACAUGCAAGUCGAACGGAAAGGCCCUGCUUUUGUGGGGUGCUCGAGUGGCGAACGGGUGAGUAACACGUGAGUAACCUGCCCUUGACUUUGGGAUAACUUCAGGAAACUGGGGCUAAUACCGGAUAGGAGCUCCUGCUGCAUGGUGGGGGUUGGAAAGUUUCGGCGGUUGGGGCUGGACUCGCGGCUUAUCAGCUUGUUGGUGGGGUAGUGGCUUACCAAGGCUUUGACGGGUAGCCGGCCUGAGAGGGUGACCGGCCACAUUGGGACUGAGAUACGGCCCAGACUCCUACGGGAGGCAGCAGUGGGGAAUAUUGCACAAUGGGCGGAAGCCUGAUGUAGCAACGCCGCGUGCGUGAUGACGGCCGUCGGGUUGUAAACCGCUUUCGCCUGUGACGAAGCGUGAGUGACGGUAAUGGGUAAAGAAGCACCGGCUAACUACGUG